CUGAGGUAAACAGCUGUCCAAAGACAUCAUCUCUGGGACCACAGUCACAAACAAGAUACAUGAAAGACAAAAUUGAUCAAAUAUUGCUGGUCAUGAAAACUACAGACUCUGCCUUCAGGAGCAGAACAGUAAAAAUGGACUAAGAACUUGAAAACUACUGCUACAUUUACCAGACCAUCACUCCUUUGAGCAUCCUCUGCUGACCAGAUGCUACGGGAUGGCAAAUAGAUCUAUUGAUGUUGCACCAGCAGACUGUGAUGGGAUGAAUUAUGUAACAGCCUCGAUGGGUUGUGAAGGCGACUGUGCAGGGAAGAAAAAGUAUUUACGCUGCUGCCGUGACAACUGAUAAUAUAACCUCUGUAUUUACAUAUGCUGAGCCCUGUAAAUCCUCCAUGUGCAUGCAUGGUGUGUGACUUGCAGCAGAUCAUUGAUGCCUGAUGUUUAAUAGGACGUAGCAGCUGCUCAAAAGCUUAACAAAAAAUAAAAAAAAUAAACAAUAACAUCCUAACAAUACUUUCCACACCCAUUAGUUAAAUAUGUGUAAAUCAGAGUCUUCUGAUGAAGAAACAGGCUGUUGAAACAUCAGUCUUAAUGACAUCUGUAGAAUAAAUCUGAAAAAAAUGUUAGAAAAGGUUCUAGCCUUUUCUGCCAUUUCAAAGAUGAGAGAUCGUACAUGUUUAUGGGUUGUUAGCCAGGAAAGAACCCUUACUACCAUUACAAAUGUUAAAAUUAACUUUGCAACACUCAGGGAUUUGAACUGGAGAUUUGCAUUGUGGUUAAUGCUAAGACGGUCCCAAGACUGAGGAUUUCAGCAGCAAACACUCCUGCUUUGUACGGCAUUCAUCAAAGAAUGAAUAUGAAUGGAAGAAGGAUUUUCCUAAAAUCCUCUGUUCGAGAUUUUAUGAUUACAAUGUAGUAAUUCAUUUUAAAGGGGGAGAAUGAUGUGUUUUCCAGGCACAGCGUGCCAUUUUACACCUCAAUAAAGUAACUUUGUUACCUUCAGUUCUGAAGACCCUCUGAAACACUUAAAAAGGAAAUGUGACUUUGAAUCAUUGCUGUGCCUGACGCCUUGAAAUUGGCCUUUGUCUCUUUAAAAACCUCCUACCCUUUCCUGAUACUCUUCUGUCAGGAUGUCAUCACCGCAAUGCCUUUUCAAGUCAUCAGUAGAUGCUGUUUUUAGCAGGGCUGUACUUUGUUGUGCAGAGGAUUAGUAUGUUACAAUAUCAUAUUUGGAGAACAAGCUGAAAAUCAGCAUGAUAAGCUCAGCAGACGCAGACUUCUACCAGGUUUUUGCUAAUUUUUGUUGCCGCUAUUCUGGUGGAGGAGCUAGUAACGCAUCUCUACAAACUAUUAACACAGCUACUUAUGAAAGCUUUCAUACAUUCAUAAGUAUGAAACAACUAAUGUAAGAACUGUGAAUUUAGAAAGACAUGUCUUACUUUGUAUGUUCAGUCUGAGUCCUAGCAGACAUGAUUGGAUCUUCUCCUAGUCAAGCUUAAGAGGGGAUUUACCUACUAAGGUUUACACUAAGUGACACUAACCGACUCAAAAAAUUCAGCCUCUUUCAAACUGGAUUGUUUUGCAAUUUUUCUGCCCGUAUUUGUCUCUUUCCGCCAUGUCGGCACGAUAUUUGAAAGGCCACACUGAUGCAGCCUUCUGCCACUUUUGUUUGGUCGGUGUGCAGCAAAGGUGAGCCACGCCAACAUAAUGAAUGGGAAUGGCAUUGUGGAGCAGUCUCUGUGUGAAAAGAGCUUGUGUUGCUGUGCAUGUGGAAUUGUCUAACUGCACUUUACCAGAUUUCUCUUUUGGUUAAUGUUUAUUUCACUACCCUGACAAUAAUUCUUUUUAUUCAGUCAGUUUGCCUCUAGCUUAGUUCUACGAAAAUUAUAAAACAUCUUCUCUUGUUCUUUUAUUUCUUUAACUAUUGGACUCAAGUUAGAUCUUUAAUUUACUUUAUGCACUGGUGCACGAGGAAAAUAAAAACCCUUAAAAUCCCAAUCUUAGACUCAGUUUUCCCCCACCGACUCCCUCUCUGUGUCUCUCCGUCUCGCCCACCACCCGAUUUGCUCUUCAAAGGGGAAGCAAAACGUCUGCCUAUUACAAGGAGCCUAGGGCCCUCUGCAGAGUUGUGUUAAGUAAUAACAAGCAGUGACGUCAAAGGUUUUCCAUCCGAGCUGGAAAGAGGGAGGGCAAUGAGACUGAAAAAAAAAAAAACAGAAAGGGAGGAGGUGAAGCAGACAUGGAAGAGAUGCAGCUUGUGAGAAAUCUUUAGUUUUUUUUGUGUUGAUUUGUGGGUUUUUUGUACACAUGUAACACACAUAAACAUAAAUAAUGAAUAAUAACUUGUUCACUUGGAUUAAAAAGAUGUUUGAGUUCAUAUGUACUGUCACCGCAUGUGUUUUUUUAUCUGAAGAACUUAUUGUUCUCAUUCUGAACGAGUAAUAUAAUGCUCCCACAUCUAGUUGCAUUUAUAUCACGAUACUGCAGUAAAUAUAAUAGCAUCUGCUUAUCAUUUGCUGACAAAAAGAGAUCAAGUUCAAUAUGUGGAUCUAGGUUAAGAUCUUGUACUAAGUGCCUCUUGUGCAACAAUGUUUGUUUAAAGAUGACCUUCAUUUAACAGAGACAUGGUGAGGAAAUAUUUGGGUAUUAUUCCUUUAUGAAAGAGCUUGAUUAGGAUCUAUUUCUGUGGGUUACUUAACCAGCCACACAUUUAUUAAAUACAUCAGCUUAUUUCAGCUAAGGAUUGCUUUCACAGUGCAUUGCGUAAAAAUGGGCACCACAUAAAUCUUUUCAAAUUUUGUCACGUCAUAACUACAAAGCUCAUUGGAUUUCUUUGGGACUUCGUGUGAUGGACCAAGACAAAGUUAAACAUGACUGUGAAAAGGAAGGACAAAUGUUUUUCAAUUCUUGUGAACAACUAUUUUCAAUUCUCGCCAUAGAUUCCCAGCUGAAUUUCAGUCUGAACUUUGA